GAUGAACGCUGGCGGCGUGCUUAACACAUGCCAGUCGAACGAUGAAGCCCAGCUUGCUGGGUGGAUUAGUGGCGAACGGGUGAGUAACACGUGAGUAACCUGCCCUUAACUCUGGGAUAAGCCUGGGAAACUGGGUCUAAUACCGGAUAGGAGCGUCCACCGCAUGGUGGGUGUUGGAAAGAUUUGUCGGUUUUGGAUGGACUCGCGGCCUAUCAGCUUGUUGGUGAGGUAAUGGCUCACCAAGGCGACGACGGGUAGCCGGCCUGAGAGGGUGACCGGCCACACUGGGACUGAGACACGGCCCAGACUCCUACGGGAGGCAGCAGUGGGGAAUAUUGCACAAUGGGCGCAAGCCUGAUGCAGCGACGCCGCGUGAGGGAUGACGGCCUUCGGGUUGUAAACCUCUUUCAGUAGGGAAGAAGCGAAAGUGACGGUACCUGCAGAAGAAGCACCGGCUAACUACGUG
rnacentral:rRNA from 1 species